GCUUCGGUAGCGCAGUAGGCAGCGCGUCAGUCUCAUAAUCUGAAGGUCGUGAGUUCGAUCCUCACCCGAGGCA
rnacentral:tRNA from 1 species